UGGCGGCCCGCCUGCAAGCUUGGUGAUAGGCAACAAAAUCACACGGUCGUGUAGUGCGUUGCCUAUGCACCAGGCGCCUAGUGCCGAGGCCGCCGAGGCAGAGAGCGCGAGACGAGUGCAUCUGCAUCACGAGUGCAGUGCAACUGCAACGUGAGAGCGAAACGAGUGCGUGUGGUGAGUGCGCGGCGACACGCGCGACCUGGUGAACGAGAGCAUGUACGCCAAGCCAACCGACCGCAUUCAAACGAAAGAUGCUACCGCGGCCGCUUCGUCUGCGCAGGUGAGAGUCACGUGACGUCAGUUUUGCCGAUGAGCCAUUGUUUUGACGCUUCUAGCAGACGACUGCGACGACUAGCCUGACGCUUGGCUAAAGCAACCGUGCUUUGACUAAAGCAGAAACUUUCGUUUUACUCCUUAACAACACGCCAACUUAUGAGUGGUGAUCAUGCUUGGCCUAAGAAGUUUUGGAUUAACACUUGACCCUCGAGCCACAUCAAGCUUGUGCCAGGACACUUCUCCGCCCCAUUAGGCUAUGGGGGAAAGCCAUCAAAUCCAGGAAUUGCGGUGAAUUGAUGGUGCUGUGAGCUGCUGCUCUUUCGCUGGGAGGCAUUUAUAGUGCAACCACUAGCUCCAUGGCAUUGACUAUGCUACCGUUGGUUAAAGCAGAAAACGUCUAUCAGCAUAUUAAAAUCGAGGUUGGCUAAAGAAGAAUUCCAUUCUUGUCUUCCACUAAAUGGUGUUAUCUGUGUUAAUAAUGGUGCCAUCUGAAUAAUGCAUUGUAAGUUAAAUGGAAGUAAAUUUUCUAUUGAGUAA